GAUGAACGCUAGCGGCAGGCUUAACACAUGCAAGUCGAGGGGUAUUGGUUUUCGGACCAAGAGACCGGCGCACGGGUGCGUAACGCGUAUGCAAUCUACCUUUUGCAGAGGGAUAGCCCCAGAGAAAUUUGGAUUAAUACCUCAUAGUAUAGUACUUUGGCAUCAAGGAACUAUUAAAGUCACAACGGCAAAAGAUGAGCAUGCGUCCCAUUAGCUAGUUGGUAAGGUAACGGCUUACCAAGGCUACGAUGGGUAGGGGUCCUGAGAGGGAGAUCCCCCACACUGGUACUGAGACAUGGACCAGACUCCUACGGAGGCAGCAGUGAGGAAUAUUGGACAAUGGGCGCAAGCCUGAUCCANCCGAUGCCCGCGUGCAGGAUGACGGUCCGUAUGGAUUGUAAACUGCUUUGUACAGGAAGAAACACUACUUCGUGAAGUAGCUUGACGGUACUGUAAGAAUAA
rnacentral:rRNA from 1 species